CUCGGUCUCCAGGAGAAAGGCGGAAGGAAUGCGGACCUUUUCGAAGUGACAGACUCAGCAGCCUAUCAGAAGCCGAAGGAGGAAGGCGGGGCGGAAGACUUGAACAAUGAAGUGGAUUGACGGAGUGAGUAACCAAUGAGGGACUGGAUUCAGACUCGGCUUUCCAGUGGACCUGUCCGGGAAGGGAAAUUGAGCUACCUCCAGGUGAUGUUAAGGAUUUUAACGUCCUGAUGACAUCACAGGUCAGUGAGUCUGCUCUGGCCUCUUACUCUAGCCCCAUAAAUGACCAUUUCCGGGUGUAUGUGCGUGGUUAGGGGAACCUUCUCUGGGUUGCAGUUCCCCAGUUCUUUGUUUAAACCUAAAGGUUAUGUUAGUACCUCCAAAACAAAUGGGGAUCCUAGACCUUUAUUUGUUCCUCUUCUCAACAAAUUGAUUAAGUCUCUUGUUUUCUGCUUUUCACCAUGUUAUGCCCAGAUCACGACCCCAAAGAGACCACUGAAGACCGUGGAUGUCCAGAAUGCAACAGCAAGAUAAGGGCAAGUAUCUAUGAUGAGAGCAAGGCUGCACCCCAGAGCAGAAGUGAUGUCUUUAGCUGGUGACCAAUCCCUCAAGCAAGAUGGUGAUAACUUCUUUGGACGACCUUGAAGAACCAGAGCAGAGAUAAUGAUCGAUGAGAUUGCUAUUUGACUUUUACUACUUUCUUUCUUCUUAUGUGUAUGUGGUAUAUGUAUGUGCAUGUUCAUAUGUGGAGGUGGUUUUGUGUGUGUAUGUGUAAACAAGCUUAUGGAGGUCAAAGGUUGAUGUCAGGUGUCUUCCUCAAUAGCUACCACCUCAGUUUUGAACACUGAACCUGAAUCUCACUGAUUUGGCUGGAUUAGCUGUCCAGCAGGCUCCUGAGAUCCAUCUGUCUUUGACCCUUAAAGCUGAGAGUGCUAGUGCACCGUCCCACACCUGUCUUUGUAUGGUUGCAUCUCCCCAUCCCUAAUUAUACAUACUCCUUGACCCAAUUCUGUAAAUAAUCUAAAGCUGAUAUCAGUACCUCAAAGUUAAGUGGGAUCAUGAUAGUCCUUUAUUUAUUCCUUUCCCCACCAUAUUAAUUUAAUCUCUUUUCUCUACUUCUCAUCAUUUUUCAUGUUUCUUUUUUUAAGGUUUUUUAGAGACAGUCUCUCUGUGUAGUCUUACUUGUUCUGGAACUCACUAUAUAGACUAGGCUAGUCUUGAACUCACAGAGUUCUGCCUGCCCCUGCCCCAGUAGUGCUGAGAUCAAAGAUGUGUGCCCCUAUGAUGGUUUGAAUAGGUAUAGCACCUAUAGACAGACUCAUGUAUUUGAGUGCUUGGCCCAUAGGGAGUGGUACUAUUAGGAGAUAUGGCCUUGUUGGAGUAGGUAUGACCUUGUUGGAGAAAGUGUGUCACUGUGGAGCUGGGCUUUGAGGUCUCAUAUAUGCUCAAGCUAUGCCCAGUGUGGCACACAGUUCACUUUCUGUUUUGUAGUGAUAUAUUGUGUCCCCCAAUAUAUUGUGCAUCCUAAUAAACUUAACUGGGGUCAGAGGACAGAACAGCCACUAGAUAGACAUAGAGGCCAGAAAAUGGUGGCACACAUGCCUUUAAUCCUAUCACUUGGGAGGCAGAGAUCCAUCCGGAUCUCUGUGAAUUCAAAGCCAUACUGGAAACAGCUAGGCAUGGUGACUCAUGCCUUUAAUCCCAGGAAAUGAUGGCAGAAAGCAGAAAGGUAUAUAAGGUGUGAGGAGCAGGAACUAGAGCUGGUUAAGCUUGUAGACUUUUAGCAGCAGUUCAGCUGAGAUUCAUUCUGGUUGAGGACUCAGAGGCUUCCAGUCUGAGGAAACAGGAUCAGCUGAGGAAUUGGCAAGGUGAGGUAGCUGUGGCUUGUUCUGCCUCUCUGAUCUUCCAGCAUUCACCCCAGUAACUGCUCUGGGUUUGUUUUUAUUAAUAAGACCUUCUAACAAUACGUGCUACACUAUUGUCUUUGAAUCAAGAUGUAGAACUCUCAGCUCCUUCUCUAGCACCAUGUCUGCCUACAUGCUGUCAUGUCCCACCAUGAUGAUAAUGGACUAAAACUCUGAAACUGUAAGCCAGCUCCAGUGAAAUGUUUUCUUUUAUAAGAGUUGUCAUGGUCAUGGUGUCUCUUCAUGGAAAUAGAGACCCUAAGACAGCCCCCAUACCCAGCUAAAGCAUAUAUUAAUGCCAUGGGGUAAUAAAAUCUAGGGAAUUAAAACAGGGUAAGAGGGAAAUGUUACAUUGGAAACUGGUGCUGUAACUAGAGUUUGGGGAAAACCCAGGCUCUUGUAGCCCAAUAGGUAAGGUUAGCUUACUUGGCCCAAUAUGCCAAUUAAAGAGAAUGGUGAGAAGAAUGCUUGCUUAACAAGAACCAAACCCUGGAUAUCAUCACCAGAAAUUUUAUAUAUAUGUCAGGUAUGUCUGUAACCCCAACCUUUAGUAGGUAGAGGUGGGAGGGUCAGAAGUUCAAGCUCAUCUAUAUAUAGCAAGUAUAUAGUAUAUAGCAAGCUCAAGGCCAAUAGGAGCUUCAUGGGAACCUUUCAAAAGAAAGAUGAGUCAGGAAGAUCUCUGUAAGUGCAAGGCCCACUUGGUCUACGCAUCCAGUUCCAGGACUACAUGGACUCUGUCUCAAAAGAGUGUGUGUGUGUAUUUUUACUUUGUAUUUUUCUUUUAAUGUACAAAAUGGUAUUUUGGUAUACAAGUGCAUCUAUUACCUUCUGUGAUUAACUUUUCAUGUGUAUUUGACAUCUACUCUCAGGAAAGCUGUGGCCCACAUUGCAAAUGAAUUGCUGUCUUUCUCAAUGUUAUUAACCACAAAACAUGCAUCAAUUUCUUGAUCCAUUUAGUUUCUUGUUUUGUUUCUCUUUCUAGUGUAGAGGACCAAACCUAUGAUCUAUAGGCAAGUGCUUGGCCACUGAGGCCGCCCCCACCAGCCCUCACUUAAGUUUCUGUAGCGUUAGCAGAAUAUCCGUCCCAAGAGGGCGGGGAUUGUGUACACAUCAUUGCUGUACUCUUGUGCUGAACAUCUGUUGAGUGAAGAAUAACAUAACAGAGCCCAGGUGGUAGUUACAUAACACUUGUUUCUGUUGUUCUGUUCUUGGUUCUGGGGACCUGACUCAGCAGUCACUGUAUCAACUGAGCCAUCUCCCCAGCCCCUUGCUUAGGUUUAUGUUUGCUCAUUUGUUUUUGUUGGUUGUUAUUUUCUGGUUUGAGGGGGCAGUAUUGCUGUUAGGAUAUUUUAAAUUCAUUAUGUGACAAUUUCAUGCAUGCAUCUAAUGUAUCUUAACCACAGCCACUUGCAACUUUAUUUGUCUAGAAUUGUCUCUAUCAGGCUAGCCUAUGGCUGUGUCUGUGGACAUUUUCUUGAUUGCUAAAUAAAAUAAGAGAGCUUAGCAUGCUUCAGUUAGUAUUAUCCCUAAGCAGGUGGGCCUUAGAAACACAGUUGUACAUGAGCCUAGAAACACCUCCCAACAUGCUCCUCUUCCAAAUUCUUGUCAUUAUCACUCACUCAUUUAUUCUUUUUUGUUGCAGUGACCCAUUGAGUCCUGUUUGAUUUUGGUUUUGAUACAGGGUUUCAUAUAUCCCAGGCUUACCUGAAACUCUAAUGUAGCCAUUGAGCUACUGAUUCUCCAGCUUCUACCUUCUGAGUGUUGAGUUUCCAGGCAUGUGUCUCUAUACCCAGUUUUAUACAGUGCUGAAGAACAAAUUCCAGAUUUGGUUCAUCCCAGGCAAGCACCCUAUCACUUGAGCUAAAAUUCCAGCCCUAUUGUAGCCAUUACUUUUUAUAUUAUUUUAUUAUUUUCUUACAUUUAUUUCAUUAUUCUUUAAGAAUUUCAUUCAUACAUCAUUCCCACCCAACACUUUCAUCCCUCUAAUUCCUCUUUUAUUGUUAUUUAAUUGUAUGUGUGUGUACACCACAUAUAUAACAGUGCCUGCCUGCAGAGACCAAAAGAAGGUAUCAUAUUCCCUGGAGUUGGAGUUUACAGAUGAUUGUGAGCUGCCCAAGUGCAGUAGGUGCUCUUAACCACUGAGCCAUCUCUCCAGCCCCUACUAGAGCAAUUCUUAUUAACACUUGGAUGUCAUCCUUGAGGUGUCUAUCAGGCAUUCCAGACACAAAUAUGAGCUUUGUUCAUAUCCAUCCUUCCUCCACCCUCUCAAUGACAGAGGUCAAGUACUUCUCUGUCUACAGCUGUUCUUUUCUACCUGUCAUCCUUAAAUGCCUUAUUCUGUCCCUUAUCCUUUUUUCUCAGCUAAUUUUGGUUAUUAACUUUAUAUAUCUGAGAAGACUGAGCUGCAGUUAAGGAAUUGUCUCUAUCAGGCUAGCCUAUGGCUGUGUCUGUGGACAUUUUCUUGAUUGCUAAAUAAAAUAAGAGAGCUUAGCAUGCUUCAGUUAGUAUUAUCCCUAAGCAGGUGGGCCUUAGAAACACAGUUGUACAUGAGCCUAGAAACAAGCCACUAAGCAGUGUUCCUCUGUGGUCUGUGCUUCAGUUCCUUCUUCCAGGUUCCUGUCUUGAGUUCCUGCCUUGGCUUUCCUUGGUAAUUGUGGACUGUAACAUGUAAGCCAAAUAAACCCUUUUCUUCCCUGAUUGCUUUUGCUCAGCAUUUUAUCACAGCAACAGAGAAACAAACUAGAAUGUUGGGAGCUGUGCGGCCUAGUUUUAGACCAGCAUAUAAGUGCUUGUCCAAGUCUCCAGAUGAGGCAAAGCCUAUGGCAACAGUCUCACUCAGCAAGGACCAUUGGACUUCAGGACAGCACAGAAUGCUGCUGGGGCUAUGAAACCUGCACACUCUCUUCUCUCUCAUAAUAUUGAUGAUUCUCUUGGUGGUUUUUAGUGUCACUUUGUCAGUCAUGCAUGGGACAGAUGUGAUCAUUCCUGGAAACCCAAUUUUUUCUCAAAUAUUUCCCCCUAAAAUUCUUUGGGAGCUGAUGCUUCUCAGGUUUCUUGACUGGAGAUGCUGUCACUCCAGACUCCGGGAACUGUCCUGAUUCAGUGCUGAGAGAAUCGGAGGCAAUUUACCCCUAUUUCGGUAAAUAUGCUUUGUUAAGUUUUGAACGAUAUUGUUGUUCUUGAAAGAUAUUGUUGUUCUUGAAAAUGUGUUCCCAUGUUUAUCACCUUUUAGUUUUGUAAAGACAAGAUGUACCUGGUUUGAUAUUUGGCCAAGCUAGCAAAACAAUAAAUGUUGUUUUGGGUUUAAAAGAUGUUUUGAUGUAAAAGUUGGGGAAAAAGAAACAUAUUUGACAUAUUUGUUUUUGUCAGAGGUUAAUAUUGGAGGAUGGGGAAAAAACUUAUUUGUUAGUAGGGAAAAACAUGCUUGUUUGGAUGUAUAAAUAAAGACUGCUGGAGCUAUUCAGAGCCCAGCACUUGUGUGAAACUCA